UGCUGGUCCGAGUGUAGUGGUGUUUAUAAGUCAAUGAUCACAGCCAGUUACAGAUUUGUUCUUCUCCCACUGCAUUACUUGACUAGAAAGAA
ensembl:Y_RNA Y_RNA Y RNA